rnacentral:rRNA from 1 species
CAGUAGCCGCGGUAAUACAGAGGGUGCAAGCGUUAAUCGGAAUUACUGGGCGUAAAGCGCGCGUAGGUGGUUCGCCAAGUUGGAUGUGGAAUCCCCGGGCUCAACCUGGGAACUGCAUCCAAAACUGGCGAGCUAGAGUAUGGUAGAGGGUGGUGGAAUUUCCUGUGUAGCGGUGAAAUGCGUAGAUAUAGGAAGGAACAUCAGUGGCGAAGGCGACCACCUGGACUGAUACUGACACUGAGGUGCGAAAGCGUGGGGAGCAAACAGGAUUAGAUACCCCGGUAGUCCCUGUCUCUUAUAC